rnacentral:rRNA from 1 species
UGUUUGGGAAUGCAGCUCUAAAUGGGUGGUAAGUUUCAUCUAAAGCUAAAUAAUGGCGAGAGACCGAUAGCGAACAAGUACCGUGAGGGAAAGAUGAAAAGAACUUUGAAAAGAGAGUUAAAAGUACUUGAAAUUGCUAAGAGGGAAGCGCUGAAAACUAGUGAUAUGCCGUGUCAAUCGCUUUCGGCCCCACUAGGUCGUGUGUGUAGUUGGAAACUCUGCAUACGCGCUCGAAAGGGUGGUCGGAGGUUUAUGAUACGGUGUAAGUCAAGAUCAAUUCGGAUUGUGGGAGAAGGUAGCGAGAAAGGUAGGAGGGCAACCUCUGUUAUAUUCUUGUUACUCUACCUCGGCCUGGAUUGAGGAAGUAAUGGUGCGCCGCUUGCGGCUUGGUCCUGCGUUCCUAUGGUCCUAUUUGCUCUGAUAGCAAUGCUAUCUCUGUGGAAACCGGCUAUACUGGGCGUAGUGAUUCUAUGUGCUAUCACGAUCUUGUACGAAAUGGUUUUCAUCGACCCGUCUUGAAACACGGACC